rnacentral:rRNA from 1 species
AUACGGAGGGUGCAAGCGUUACUCGGAAUCACUGGGCGUAAAGCGCGCGCAGGCGGUCUUUUAAGUUGGAUGUGAAAGCCUACGGCUCAACCGUAGAACUGCAUCCAAAACUAUUAGACUAGAGUGUGGGAGAGGAAGAUGGAAUUAGUUGUGUAGGGGUAAAAUCCGUAGAGAUAACCAGGAAUACCAAAAGCGAAGGCAAUCUUCUGGAACACUACUGACGCUGAGGCGCGAAAGCGUGGGGAGCAAACGGGAUUAGAAACCCUAGUAGUCC